CACCCAGUGCAUGUUACUGCAGCUCACUCGUAAUUCUGAAAGCGUGUUCCUGAACCUUGAAAGUCACAGACAAACUUCAAAACUGCUCGGGGGGUAGUCAUGCCACCUCACCCCCCUGAGAGUAGAUUUUUCUGAGCAACUGGAUGUGAGUACCUGACAUCUGAUAGAUUCUCACUGGAAAUAAAUCAGGACUAACAGCAAGGAUUCAGUGGACUAUGGACUGACACCUCUGACACCCCGAGUCAAAUUAAAUCUUCUUCCAAGCUAUUUUUCC